UACGUAGGGUGCGAGCGUUAAUCGGAAUUACUGGGCGUAAAGCGUGCGCAGGCGGUGAUGCAAGACAGAUGUGAAAUCCCCGGGCUUAACCUGGGAACUGCAUUUGUGACUGCAUCGCUGGAGUGCGGCAGAGGGGGAUGGAAUUCCGCGUGUAGCAGUGAAAUGCGUAGAUAUGCGGAGGAACACCGAUGGCGAAGGCAAUCCCCUGGGCCUGCACUGACGCUCAUGCACGAAAGCGUGGGGAGCAAACAGGAUUAGAUACCCUGGUAGUCCACGCCCUAAACGAUGUCAACUGGUUGUUGGUCCUUUGCUGGAUCAGUAACGAAGCUAACGCGUGAAGUUGACCGCCUGGGGAGUACGGCCGCAAGGUUGAA
rnacentral:rRNA from 1 species